AUGCAGACGCCAACGCCGACGCCGACGCAGACGCAGACAGAGACACUUUGCUUUCGAUUGUACGACGAGACGAGUAUUACCUCGAACAUCAAUUGCUGGCGAUCCAGAUCGGAUCGGAGCGGUCGUUUCCGAGAGAGCAGAAAGACCGAAAUUGGCUGGCAAUUGUCUAAUUAAAUGAGAGAUAAUUGAGAGAUUGACACCAGCUUGUGCACUUGGCGAUAGUUUCUUCUCUUCUGAUUUCCCGUUGCCUUUUACUGUUACUGUUUAUAGUUUUUCUGUUUUUUGUUUCGUCAGGGGCAGAGGCUGGAGCUGGAGCUGAAGCUGAAGCUGAAACUGAGGCUGGGCCUUAUUUAGAAUUUAUUAAGCUGCCGCUGGAUGCUGCUGCUGCGGCUGCUGCUGCUGCUGCUGCGACGACAACUUGAUAACCUGUUCUGAACCCCGCGACGCUGUUGCACAAUAAAUAAAUAAAGAAUUUGUGUAGCUUUUU